AUGAUUGGCUAGCUGGCAAUAACUCACUGCCAUUGACAGGAUGGUGAGAGUAUUAUAGUACAUACUGGUACACCAGAUGUGCUGACCCAUGAGAUAUCCCCAAGGUUGGACACUCAACUGCAUAAUUUGUUGUAGUGGGGGACUGUGUUCAUGUUCUCUUC
rnacentral:snRNA from 1 species